AACACUGAACCGUGGGCUAGGGAUUUGAAACUAAAGGACUUUGAGCUUCUGUGCCUCGAUGGCACUCGGAAGCCUGUGACUGAGGCUCGGAGCUGCCACCUGGCUGUGGCCCCAAAUCAUGCUGUGGUAUCUCGGCAAGAUAAGGUAGAACGCCUUGAACAGGUGCUGCUCCAACAACAGGCCCUGUUUGGAAGAAAUGGACCUGACUGCCCAGGGAAGUUUUGCUUGUUCCAGUCUGAAACCAAAAACCUUCUGUUCAAUGACAACACUGAGUGUCUGGCCAGACUCCAUGGAAAAACGACAUAUGAAAAAUAUUUGGGGCCACAGUAUGUCACGGCUGUUGCUAAUCUGAGACGGUGCUCAACCUCCCCGCUCCUGGACGCCUGUGCUUUCCUCAGGAGGUAAAACCCAGGAAGAUGGCCCAGCAUCACCAUCCUGUCCCCAUCCUGUCCCCCCGUCCUGUUCCUGAGGGAGCCUCAGCCACUCACUGCUCUCUGUUGCCUUCCCCUCCUUGCUGAGGGUGGGGCUUGCCAAUCUCAUUUGUUCUCACAAUUACCUGCUGUCACCUUAACAAGAAAUAAAAUUAGAAAUACUGUUGAUUUUCUCUCCUUAUAAA